GAUGAACGCUGGCGGUGUGCCUAAUACAUGCAAGUCGAGCGAACUCUGGUAAUGAUUGGUGCUUGCAUCAUGAAUUACAUUUGAGUGAGUGGCGAACUGGUGAGUAACACGUGGGAAACCUGCCCAGAAGCGGGGGAUAACACCUGGAAACAGAUGCUAAUACCGCAUAACAACUUGGACCGCAUGGUCCGAGUUUGAAAGAUGGCUUCGGCUAUCACUUUUGGAUGGUCCCGCGGCGUAUUAGCUAGAUGGUGAGGUAACGGCUCACCAUGGCAAUGAUACGUAGCCGACCUGAGAGGGUAAUCGGCCACAUUGGGACGGAGACACGGCCCAAACUCCUACGGGAGGCAGCAGUAGGGAAUCUUCCACAAUGGACGAAAGUCUGAUGGAGCAACGCCGCGUGAGUGAAGAAGGGUUUCGGCUCGUAAAACUCUGUUGUUAAAGAAGAACAUAUCUGAGAGUAACUGUUCAGGUAUUGACGGUAUUUAACCAGAAAGCCACGGCUAACUACGUGCCAGCCGCCGCAGUAA
rnacentral:rRNA from 1 species